rnacentral:lncRNA from 1 species
GUUCACGGUCAGGCGGGCGGCGGCAUUCCCCAUCCUCACGGGCAGCCGGCCCAAUCCCCUCGAUCGCCCGCGCGCCAUAGUAGCAGUGGUCUGACCCGGACACGGCAGACAGCGAGCAAGACAAGAGGAGCAGCGAGAGCAAUGGCGACGACUACCAAUCACAUUUUUUCCUUUUUUAGGAAUCGAUAUUUCCUUUUUUUCUUUUACGUGUGUUUGGGUUCGCGAUUGGUUUCUAAUUUUGAGACAAAAUUACCAUCCCAAAAUAAAAACACAUAAUUAAAUAGCUUAAUGUCAAAUUACCAAACUACCCACGCCAAUACUACUCCUAGCCUGUACUAGUAAAUUGUACCGUAAAAAGCCUCGUUAACCAAUGUUAUUCUUUUCUAGCAGCAUGGAUCGACAGCCAUGUCUUCUUCAGCUUGAUCAAGCAGUACUGCAGUAGCAUGGGUGGAACUUUGAAGUUUGAACUGAUGAAAUUAUCGUGGGGGAACAAAAACAAAUGUUGUUUUUAAAUAAUUCCAUACGAACGUGUUAUCUGCAUUUUUUGUUCUUGCAUCACAUGAGCA